AUGCGAUACAUACCUAUUUGCAUUACUAAACCAAAAUACUAAUGUAUAUGUUAUUUUUACAUCUGUACGUUUCUCAUUGUGUUUGCCUUUGCAUACCCAUAUAUUAUAUAUUAUACCUAACGGUUAACGAAUAUAUACGGUUGGUAUUGAUGUUGAAUAAUUCAGGACCGGCAAAACUGAAAAAAAAAAAAAAAAAAACAGGAGUAAAACAAAAAAAACCACCGUGGCGCUGUAGUUGUGUACCUGCCUAUA